UACGAAGGGGGCUAGCGUUGCUCGGAAUCACUGGGCGUAAAGCGCACGUAGGCGGGUCUUUAAGUCAGGGGUGAAAUCCUGGAGCUCAACUCCAGAACUGCCUUUGAUACUGAGGAGCUUGAGUCCGGGAGAGGUGAGUGGAACUGCGAGUGUAGAGGUGAAAUUCGUAGAUAUUCGCAAGAACACCAGUGGCGAAGGCGGCUCACUGGCCCGGAAUUGACGCUGAGGUGCGAAAGCGUGGGGAGCAAACAGG
rnacentral:rRNA from 1 species